GCCCAGGUGGUGAAACUGGUAGACACGCUGGCUUGAGGGGCCAGUGCCUUUUAACGGGCGUGAAGGUUCGAAUCCUUUCCUGGGUACCA
rnacentral:tRNA from 1 species